AUACUAUUUAUAGUCACGGCGGAAAGAUGGGGGGUGUGCGGAGUGUUUUCUUUUUCCUUGCGUAACAGAAAACAAUGGAGAAGCACUGAUUUAAGUGCAACUUUUGUGUUCGUGUGUUGGAUUGACGCUCGGGCCGACGACUACGUUAGUGUAUUUUAUAAUCUUGGUCUUUAUGGUGGUGGAGCUCAGUAUUUUUUUUUGGAGCUGGUGCCCGAUGUUAAAAGUUGGAGAGUCGUUGCUUUAUCUGCCAACGACGGGAAAAUUUUGAUCCAAAUCAGAAACAGCACUCAUAAAUUAAAAUCAAACUGAAUGAAAGCUGAUUUGUCCGUGUCUUUCCGCCGGGUCCGGCACUUCGAAUGACGGCCUAAAAAAAUGCUGAGUCACACCGGUGCAGGUCUCACGGGACUCUGACGUGUUGCAUUCACUGACUUGAGAAGUGAGCGGUGAACAGUUCCAGUUCCACUUCAUGCUCCUGAUUCUCCGCGAACACCGCGUCGAGGUUCUCCAGGACCGCCACCACGAGCGGCAUGAGCUCCUUCACCACGUCCUCGUCGUAUUUCCCGAUGAGCCUCUCGAACUCGCGGUAAAUGGAGUUAGCCAGGCCCGAUACCCGCUCUGACAUCAUCGCUGAUGUCCCCGGGUCGUCCUGGAUUCCAGAUUCCCAGCCGCUAUGACAGCAUUUAUGCGCUUCUUGGAUGAAAUGACUACACAGAGAACAUUACUGGACCGGACCGGGCCCGUUACGAUGCAGGAGACGACGUGGAUGUCUUCCUCUUUUUUUCCUCUCCCUUCUUCAAUGGUGCCUUCAGGAGCUACUCCACAAACUUGGAUAUUCCAGAAACGACCCGCCAAAUGUUAUACGCCCUUUCGUCACUCGGGAUAAAUCACAUCGUCUGCCUACAAAAUGAUGCGUUAAUCCACAAUUUGUUUAAGUGUUAUUGAUAAGAAAUAUGUUUGAUUCAUAUUGCAUUAUGUAGCAUGUUGAGAAUGGAGCAUUUUACGUGUCCGCCGAUUUUGAGCUCUGUAUCCGAACACACGGGGAUUCAUAAACACAAAAGCGUCGCUAUUUUUGUCGAUAUCGGUUUUACGUCGUGCACUUGAAAUUCACUUCGUCAAUACAUUUCCCAGAUGUCAUUGAAUGCACCAUUACAACAGCUGAGUUGUUGACGAGAUCACGCCAUGACGUCACGCGAAUACAGUCAUAAAUUUGUGUUGGUUUGUUUUGCA